rnacentral:rRNA from 1 species
CAGUCGCCGCGGGAAUACGUAGGUGGCAAGCGUUGUCCGGAAUUAUUGGGCGUAAAGGGCUCGCAGGCGGUUUCUUAAGUCUGAUGUGAAAGCCCCCGGCUCAACCGGGGAGGGUCAUUGGAAACUGGGAAACUUGAGUGCAGAAGAGGAGAGUGGAAUUCCACGUGUAGCGGUGAAAUGCGUAGAGAUGUGGAGGAACACCAGUGGCGAAGGCGACUCUCUGGUCUGUAACUGACGCUGAGGAGCGAGAGCGUGGGGCGCAAACAGGAUUAGAUACCCCAGUAGUCCCUGUCUCUUAUAU